ACGUAUGCGACUAGAGGAAAGCUCCAUGGGAGCUCAAACCCUAACUUCAACAAAUCAACAAAAUUGAAGGAUCAAACCAAGUUCAAAUCGAAAAUGGAGCAUAGAUUACUGAUCCUCAUCACAAGAGGAUCACAAGUUGGCGCUUAACAAGCUAGGUGGAGCUUGGGGAGAAAGCGGGUCAACCGAAUCAAGAAGGAAAAGAAAAGUGUAGCUUGGAUACGAGGUACUUUUUGGAUGCCGGAAGACGAUCAAGCUCAACGCAGG